GUUGCUUCUUACUGGUGAACUCUCCCUUGUUUCAAAGUGGAGGAUGUUCAUGUUACUAAUCUUUGCCAGUAUUAAACAGCGCUGUGUAUUUUUUUUUUGUUGCACUGUGCUACCUGUCUCCUGGUACAUUU